CAACCUGGUUGAUCCUGCCAGUUAGUCAUAUGCUUGUCUCAAAGAUUAAGCCAUGCAAGUGUAAGUAUAAACAACUUUAUACUGUGAAACUGCAGAUGGCUCAUUAUAUCAGUUAUAAUUUAUUUGAAGGUCAAUUACUACAUGGAUAACCGUACUAAUUGUAGAGCUAAUACAUGCGUAAAAUCCCGACUGU
rnacentral:rRNA from 1 species